CGGCGGUGCGGCCUGUGCGGGCGGUGCCCCGCCGGUCCCCCCGCCCGGAGAGAGCCGCAGAGCCGUGGAAUGGUGGCGUGAGCGCGGAUGGAAGAGUCAUUUAACAUCACCGAAUGCAGCCGUCAACCAAGCAGUGCCCCUGUAACACCGAAACCGCAUCACCCACGGCCUGAUUCUGACGCCUCUUUAACACCUUCAGGGAUGGUGACUCCCAACUCCCUGGGCGAUGCCAGUGUCUGACCAGCCGAACUGUUCAAAUUUUUUUCAGAUGUCUAUCUAGUGAAAGAUAAUGCCACGUACCUCAGACUUCCUGUGGACUGAUGUUGGAUGCCAUUGUUAUACAGAACUGGGAAUGGAAAAGGAAGAACUUCCUGGAGUCUGGAAAGGGCAGAUAAUACCACUUGGGAAUCUUCCAGUGAGGAAGAAAAAAGCUAGUGCAGAGCUUGUGGGAUUGAAAGUACACAAAGUACACUGGUUCUCCAGAAAAGUACAGUGAGUUUGCAGGAGGCUGGACUGUUGCAGCAAGUUUACAGAUCAUCCAAAGGCACCCUCUUCCAAAAUGAAAGGAAGGUCUGGGAAAUAAGCAUCAUCAUAUCUGGCAGGAGACAGGGCAAGAGAGCCUACCUGCAGCUGAAUUUAGGAAGGCACACUUGUUUGGAAGACCUACCUGGAGUACAAGGCCCAUCCCACCUAAUGUAGGUUUCUACUUCUCCCACUGAUGGAAGAAGGAACCAUGAGAGGGCAGAUCUGUGAAGUGACAACCUGCACUCAACAAAUCUCCCAUUUGUGGGUUUGAGGAAUAUUUUCACUAAAUGAAAUAAAGACCAGCUACUGGUGACAGUGAAAGAAAACAGAUGUACACUUGGCACAACUUUUGGCACUCUCAGGGUAAGGUAGAGCUCAAGAACAUCUGGCAAUUGAGAGAGGGGUUAAUGCUGACUUAUGCAAGUGCAAAGGAAAAAGGUCUGUGCUGAUUUUUAAGUUUUGUGUGAGAGAUUGAUAUUGGUGAGUUUAUGUAACUUUUAAUGCCACUUGGUAGCUCAAGUGCAAAGCAGCUCUGAACAUCAGUCUUCAUUCUGGUCGUUAAGUCAUCAGAGUGGGAGGCCACCCUCACUCCAAUGCCAGGUAUCUCACUGAUGAAGGCAGGAGGGAAAUUAUGACCCUGAACUCACUCCUGACAGUGGCUGCCAUUGGUCAUGAAGCUUCAGAAGUUCUUAAUGUUUCCUUUUCUUUAAUUCUCAUUGCCUGGAAAGUGUGUGGUUCCUCAGACACAGGGCCUUCAAGGCCGCAUCCCAUCUCUCAGAAGAGCAUCCUAACCAUGAGAGGAUAGAGCACCUAGCUGCUGGGGAGCUCUGCAGCCAAAAUACAGCAGAUGGGCCUGGGAGAAAGCACAGCCCAACUCAGCAGAUUUGCUCUUUGCUCUGGGUACAUGGGACCAAACAGAGCCUGCCAGUGUUUGGCUGAAAAAAUUGCCAUUUCUGGACCUGGUUAAAUUUAGGAAUGAGCUUGGUUUUGUGAGCCUCAGCUUGGACAGGACUUGGACAGAUUGGGCACAUGCUGAGCUGCAGUUCUUGGCCCAGGAGCCUUUUCUAUCCUGCCUUUGGUCUGCUUAUGUUCAGCAACAACUCGGCAAAGAUGUUCAGAACCUGUUUUGGACACUGCUAUGUGCACAUGGCCUCUAUUUCAUGUCAAAUGACCAACCAUUUUGGAUCUGGCCUUAAAGGGAUGGUGAAGAUGUUUAAAACAAUAAACAAAGGCAUAAAAAAGGAAAAGAAAGAAUUGAAAAAAGGAACAAAGGAAUGCUUACCUAGUAGUGUAGAAGGGAUUUACUUAUUUUUUUAUGUAUAUAAUUUUGUUACAUUGAAAGAUGAGCCAGGUGUUAGAAAGAAGCAUGUAUUUAUGUCUUACACUGAAUACCAUAGCAGUGCAGUGUGUGAAAAAGAAGAUAAAUCUAAAUUCUCAGGAACUAAAUGUUUUUGGUUUUUUUUUCCCUUGCAUUAAUUUAGUUUAGACUUGUCCUCACUGACAGGAGACAGACUUUCCAACUACUGGUUGGAUGCCUCAAAAAAAUCUUGAUGCCUGCUGAAGAAAUACUAUGAUUUUCACUCUUUCCAUGGGUACAUAUAUAUACCCUAUGCAUUAUAAUAUUGUAUCUUAUGGCACCACAAAAUCAGAGUUGAUCUAUAUUUAUUUUUUAAUUAAUUUUAUAUAUUGUAUGUAUUUAUAUAUUUUAUAUAGGAGACAAGCACUGUAUAAGAGAGAUCAAUAGUGCUUUAUAAAAUCACAAGAAUAAUUAUAUAAUAUAGUCUGCAAGAGUACUUACACAUUCCUUGCAUUUAGUGGAUGCAAAAAUGUUUUCAAUACUACUAGUCGUGAUUUUAAUUUUUAUUUUCACAGAAUGAUUAAAGACUUUACCAUAUUUUUGCUAUUGUUUUCUUGUUCAGAACAUCCAAAAUGUGCUGGGCAGCAUCAAGCUAUAUUAGCAAUAGACCCUUCCAUAAUGGAGGGUGUGGUUUUCAGAAUCAGUGGCAACUUGAAGACUGCUUUGUGAGUGUGUAAUGAACUGGUCAGCACUUGCUGAGCUUUCUGUCUUUUCUGUGCAUUCACUGAACCAUCAGUCAAUCAGAGUAGUUCAGAUCCAAAGUUAUCAUCUGUAUGUUACUGAUGGAGCACAAAGCAAAAAACAGUUACAGGAGUGACUGCUGUAUAAUCUGACAGUUUUGAGUGCACUUUUAAAAAAUAAACAGAAGAUAAUACUGCUUGAAUUUAUGUAAGAAACCCUAAAAUAUGUUCCAAUGAAGUACCUGGAGUUGUGCUAGUGGGAUGAAAGCAAUAUGCUGCCAAUACAGAAGAGUGAAGACAAAACUAUCUAGGGCAUGUUCAAAAAAAUACCUACAAUAAAGCAAUUUAGGAGAAGGAGUCUCUCUGGACUAAAGUCUCUUUAGUCUUUAGUAGAGUAUUAUGUUUAUUGCAUGUUUCCUAAAGCACAAUUUGAACUACAGAGCUGCAAUUUAAAGUUUAUGAAAACGGAACAUAGCCAAAUGGAAUGAAAAAUAUGCAGUACAUAACCACAGUAAAUACUAAUGUAAUUCAUUAUUUGUGUGGUUUUAAUUGACAGGGCACAAAACAGGAACAAAAUAGAAACAAAAAUAUUUGGAGAACAAAAUUAAACAUGAAAAAAGCCUUAGAACACAGCAAAGGUAUGUCCCUCAAGAUUAGGUUUGGAGUAAAUUUUGAUGCUGAAUUACAAAUGCUUUGUUAGGCAGGUACUGUAGUGAUAAAAGUCAUGUGCUCUGACUGAAAUUCUGAGGGCUCAUAUCAAUGGCAAAUAUUCUUUGGCUUUGGUGGAGUCAACACUUGAACCUAGAGCUCAGGAGCUAUACUGGUUAGUGUUAUCUGUUAACUGCGACAGCACAAAGCAGCUGGGUUACAUGAAAUGAAAGCUCUACCUGGGGCCACUGGUUCUGUGCCUAAGGUGUGGCUAUGCCAUGGUGC